rnacentral:lncRNA from 1 species
CUGGUUUUCAAUGCUAACAACAACAACAUAAACUAAUUUAAGAUUUAAAAAAAAAAAACAACACAGUUACAAAUACAAGCACCAAAAAUCAUAUUUUUCUCUUCUUCCUCCUUGCAUCCUUCAAUGUCCUUACUUUUUUCAGAAGACCCAACAACACAAUUCAUGAAUGGUGGAUCAAAUUAGGUGUAAAACCGACAUGGUUUUCGAAAUCUACUGCCAAAUUUCUUACACCCAAAAAACCUCCUACCUGGGUUGUCAUUGGACCAAGACGUGUUUAAUUCGGCUGAGUUUCCACAAUAGCACACCGGAAUCACUUCAAGCAUCUCCAUUUUUCCUUUUCUCCCUUUUCUUCUUCUUUUUCUUUUUCUCUAACCUUAGAAUGGUGUGGUAGGGUUGUUAAAUUGAGAGUAACCGGCCAACUGGAGGAUUUUUUGACACCAAAGACACCAUCAUCUGCCA